rnacentral:lncRNA from 1 species
CCCCGGACCCUCUGGGACAUGUGACAGCAGAAGGUGCCACGAACGCACAGGGGACGCUUCUGCAUUCACCACCCUCCGUGACAGUGCCAGGCUCUGCCGGGGGACAGUGGAGCUCCAGCAGCAGCCUGCUGGGAUGGAGGGCCACUGGGACAGCCCUCGUGCAGAGCCAGAAUGACACUGUCCAGCUGGGUGACAGCAGCCCAGGGACCCUCCCCAGCACCGUGCUGGCCUCUGACAGCUCAGGAACAGGGACAGCAGGGACGUCACCGUUUGCUGGGGGGCUGCAGAGGCUGCUGGCCCCCACAGGGACGCUGCAGGGGAUGCUGUCAGGAGGGCAGGGCUUUGCUCCCCACCCACGGGAGGGUCCCCGCUCUGCCCCUCAGCCCUCUGCGCUGUCCCCUGGGCCUGGUGCGAGCCCUUUGGCCAGCACAGCCUGGCCAGCCGAGGGGACGGGCCCAGCCUCGCUGCCUGCCACACGCAGGGGCUCAGCUCUGCCUCUCCCCACCUCCAUGGCCAGCACCCCAGGGGUGACAUCUCCCGGCCAGGGAGGAGCUCUGGACCUGACCACAGGGGUCUUGGGCCCACCUGACAGAGGGGGUGCCCCUGAGCACGGUCACAUCCCCCUGAGCCCGUCAGCCAUCCCAGGGCAGCCCCCUGUGCCCCCAGCCCCUGGCAGCCCUGCAGUGGCACAGGGUGGGGUGACACACACCAGUCCUGGGUCCCCCCACAUGUCCCUGUCCCCACAGUCUGCCCCAGCCAGUGGGUCUGCAGUGACCCUGCUGUCAGCCCCACUGCCUUCCCCAGGGACCAGCUGGGGCGUUCUGGGGUUCAGCCCCACUGUGGGCACCCCUCUGGGGGACCCCUCCCCAGGGCUGCCCCACUCCAGCCCAAAGGUGGGUCCUGCUGAGAGCCUUCCAUCCCUGGGGGGGACCCAGGUGGGAGUGGGCAGCCUGGCACCCCCCUCAGCACCGGGGCCUCCCCAGCAGCCAGCUUUGUCCCAGCCUGCACCUUCCCCAGGACCCACCACUGCUGUUGGUGUCACCAGCGCUGCUUCCACUGCCACCAUCACAGCUGCCACCAGCCCAGAAGGGCUCUGGGACACAGGGACGGCCACAGCAGAGCCACAUCCUGCUGUACUGCAGAGGGAUGUGCAGGGGGUGACCUGGGCAUCCCCAGCUCAGGUGCCCGCUGUGAUGCNNNNN